AGGCUGUGAUGAACGAAUAUCCGCGCUUCUUAAGUCCAAUUAUGAUGCACAAAACGAUAUAUAUGGUUGAAUUUCUUCUUCUGAGCUU
rnacentral:snoRNA from 1 species